CUUAACACCUCCUUCCUUGCCCGGAGGCCAGAGCUCACGCCCAUCCCCUGUGCCUACACAGCAGGCAGCUCUCUGGCCUCUACUUCCUCUUCACAGCCAUCCCUAACUUGUUUGCUGCGCCCCAGACCAUUCAGUCUUGUCUUCACCCUUUAGAAUUUCUCUGGUUCCUGACGUACACAAGGGAUUGGUCAGAGGGAUGCACCAGAAGAAAUCCUACCACACAGAAGUUUUCUGUAAAAAAAAACGAGAUGGUGAAAUUUGAAUGCAGAAGUAACUGAUCUGUUCUGAACUUAUAAUGAUGAAAUAAUGGAACAGGAAAGAGGAUUCUGACUCCGGUGUUGAGGAAUGAGGCCCAGGAUCUGAAUUUUAGAGACCCAGAGGGCCUGUUCUCUCCUUUGGCUUUGGUGACUGUGGGGGCUGUGAGCCCUGCUCAGCCUUGGUGCUUCUCCCUGCCUGUCAGUAACGGUGGUCCAGGCCCUGCAUCCUCUGCCGUGGGUGUGCACCAACUCACAGAAGGCCUGACUCCUUCUGCUUCUGCUUUCCCCCGCUCAGAACUCCAGGCUUCAGUCUGCUCCUUCUCCCGUGUUGUCACUCCAUGGGGCUAGUGUCUCCAGCCAGCUCCAGGGCCUGAGGGAGAGCCCACGCUCCAGCUCCUGUCACACAGGGUCUCUGCAACCUCUGACCCUCCCCCAGAGAGCACCUUGACAGGUUGAAUACUGUAACCAAGACUUCUCU
rnacentral:lncRNA from 1 species